CUCUGUGAAGCAGGGCAUGACCAGACGUUGCAGCCAUAGAAAAAGACAGGCGUGGAGGAGGCAGGAGAGGGCUUGUUGCACAUAAACAGAGAGGAAAAAGAAACCACCUCUGUAAUUCACUAAAAAUCUCAUUGGAAGACUAUGUUCAGGUUCAGAUGAUUUCUCUUGGCACAAAAUCAUCAUCAGACCCUGUCAUUUCUUACCAGCUGAAGAGAUCGUGGAAGGAUAAAGUGUAAUGGAGAAGUGCAAUCAGAUGUGGCAGCAUUGCCAUCUUUCACUUGAGUUUUCCUCUUGAAGUUCAACAAUAAAAUAACAGUGUUUACAAGAAAUGUACCUUUACAGCUGAGGCAUCUGCAGGCUGCUGCAAAGGUUCAGACUUGUUUGAAAAAAAAGAAAGAAAUGCUGAUGACUGCCAACAUUAAUUGCCAAAAAUGUGCUUUCAGUUAUUAAAGUCCUAAUGAGCCCAACCAGUGGGCACAUGCAUCUGCUGAGCCAGGAGGCAAGGAGAGCCCUUGCUACAGACCCACCCAGCUUUCACCAGCACAUCAACACUUCAAGCAGCUUUUUGAGUGGCAGAUUAUUGGCUCUGGUUAUGCCUGGAGAGAGAAAAGCCAAGUUAUAGCCUCCUCAACCUAUGCAAUAUAACCAUCCACUUCCCCGCUUCACCAGGCUGCACUUUGUCCAUGUCCAGUAAACAGCAGCCUAGCAUUUUGUAUUAAAGCCAUUCCUAGAAUUAGGAACUAAAACUGACCCAGGCUAUUUAAACAUCUUGUUACAAUUACUCAAAUAUAUGCUUUUAAAAGCAGAGUUUACCAAAGUGGCUUCAGAUUUUGUUACUUAUUCCUAGUUUUGUUUUGGCAUUCACUAGCAUUCAUGGGGGUACGUGUGUGUCUGAGCUCACGUGCUGAUCUUUGCUUGGGGAUUUGUCCCCAUAAAACAGGGCAGAAGGACCAAUUUGCCAUAUGUUUUUUGUAGCAGGCAAGAUUAAGAACUGCUAACAACAGAGCAGCCUCUGGAAUCAGUGCAGGAUCGAGCCCAACAGCACCUGGAAGCAGAUCCAUAAUGGGAACAAAAGGAGAAGAUGGGCAGCAGUUUUGGCCUCUCAGGCACCACUUGGCCUCUUGCAUUGCUGCCCAUAGGGAAUACCGGGGAAGGGACAGAGGAAAUGCUGACAAGAGAAAAAGCAGCUAGACAUAAAUGAAUCCUGGAAUCAUCUCAAGUCCCAUAGCGUUCAUAAUUACCUAUCAUUUUACUGAUC